rnacentral:rRNA from 1 species
AUGGAGGGGGGCGGAGGGGAGGAGCGGGCGGGAGGUCGGAAGGCGAACCAGCUGCGGGCGUACUCGUGCACGCGGAACCCGCUGGAGCGGGCGCACGGGUCGGCGCGGUGGGCGCAGGGCGACACGGUGGUGGUGGCGGCGGUGUACGGGCCCCGGCCGGGGACGCGCAAGGGGGAGAACCCCGAGAAGGCGUCCAUCGAGGUGGUGUGGAAGCCCAAGACCGGGCAGAUCGGGAGGCAGGAGAAGGAGUACGAGAUGACGCUCAAGCGGACGCUGCAGAGCAUCUGCCUGCUCACCGUCCACCCCAACACCACCACCUCCCUCGUUCUUCAGGUUAUGGGUGACGAUGGUUCUCUUCUUCCAUGUGCAAUUAAUGCUUCCUGUGCUGCCCUUGUUUUUGCUGGCAUCCCUAUGAAACAUCUUGCUGUUGCAAUUGGCUGCGGAGUGUUGGCCGAUGGUGAUGUGAUUUUGGACACAAGCAAGGCAGAAGAGCAGCAAUUGAAAUCGUUUGCUCACCUGGUGUUCCCCAAUUCAAGCAAGUCUGUUGAUGUGAAAGAAUCACAACAGAAAGAUGGGCAGUCAGAACGGGGAUUGAUAACUUCCAUCACCCAUGGAGUGAUGUCCGAGGACGAUUACUUCAACUGUAUAGAGAGGGGACUUGCCGCAUCUGCGCGGAUCUCAGAUUUCAUGAGGACCACCUUGCAGAAGCACACACCUGACUAUCUCUGA